rnacentral:lncRNA from 10 species
AGAGAUCCUCCCACCUCAGCCUCUACAGCACCUCCGUCAUCCAAGCUGCCAUCCUCUCCUGCCUGGACACUGGCAAUGCCUCUGAUUUGGUCUCCAUGCUUCCACAUGGAUUGCCAAGCAAGCUUUGAUGGGAUCGUCCUGUAUUUUCGUGUAUAAAUUCCAGCACCAAAAAAAAUAUGGCUUCAAGUUCUUUUUUUGUUUGUUUGUUUGUUUUUUAGACAAAGUCUCGCUCUGUCGCCCAGGCUGGAGUGCAGUGGCGACAGUAGUGCUUGAUGUUUGUGUUUAUAUUGAAAAAAGAGUUAGGAUCUAGGUUCAAAAAAUAAGUUUUUUACCUGCACAAAUGUCUGCAAAAAAGAGUAAUUUCAUUUCCUUAAAACUCUGGUUUUUAG